CAAAUGUGAUCCAGAUUCAGACUGAGAUAUACAAGAACGACCCAGUAGAGGGAGCAUUUAAAGUCUAUGAAGACUUUGUAUUGUACAAGUCUGGCAAGAACACAUGCAGCAGUAAGAGAUGUAAUGCAAACACGCAUUACACUGAAUAUUGAGUACAGGGUGAACCCUAAUUGCAUAUUCUGCUCAGUGAUACAGUGUGUACAGUGUUGCUUGGGACCUCGUGGUUCCCACUUGUGUUUCUUGCGUCCUCUUCCUGUCUCCAGGUGUGUAUCAACACGUUUCAGGCUCUGCUGUGGGUAGACAUGCCAUCAAGAUCCUGGCUGGGGAGAGGAGGAUGGUGUUUCCUACUGGCUCUGUGUCAACUCCUGGAACACUGACUGGGGUGAUAAUGGAAUGGAGAGAGCCACACAGCCUGUUGGUGGACCUUCAGAUGCCUCAGAUGACGACUCUGGCCAAGAAGGGACAUCUAAAGAUGACGAGAUGAGAGAACCCAGCAGGAAAAUGAAACGACACAAUAAACAUGCAGCUGAAGUGGAUGAUCCCAGG
ensembl:lncRNA